CAGUCGCCACGGUAAUACGGAGGGUGCAAGCGUUAAUCGGAAUUACUGGGCGUAAAGCGCACGCAGGCGGUCUGACAACUCAGAUGUGAAAUCCCCGGGCUUAACCUGGGAACUGCAUUUGAAACUGUCAGGCUGGAGUCUUGUAGAGGGGGGUGGAAUUCCAGGUGUAGCGGUGAAAUGCGUAGAGAUCUGGAGGAAUACCGGUGGCGAAGGCGGCCCCCUGGACAAAGACUGACGCUCAGGUGCGAAAGCGUGGGGAGCAAACAGGAUUAGAUACCCCUGUAGUCCCUGUCUCUUAUAC
rnacentral:rRNA from 1 species